UACGUAGGUGGCAAGCGUUGUCCGGAUUUACUGGGCGUAAAGCGCGUGUAGGCGGCUUGUUAAGUCUGUCGUGAAAUCUCCCGGCUUAACCGGGAUAGGUCGACGGAUACUGGCAGGCUUGAGGGGAGCAGAGGAAGGUGGAAUUCCCGGUGUAGUGGUGAAAUGCGCAGAUAUCGGGAGGAACACCAAUGGCGAAGGCAGCUCGCUGGGACGUUACUGACGCUGAGACGCGAAAGCGUGGGGAGCAAACAGG
rnacentral:rRNA from 1 species